rnacentral:ncRNA from 41 species
UCCGUAGGUGAACCUGCGGAGGGAUCAUUACACAAAUAUGAAGGCGGGCUGGAACCUCUCGGGGUUACAGCCUUGCUGAAUUAUUCACCCUUGUCUUUUGCGUACUUCUUGUUUCCUUGGUGGGUUCGCCCACCACUAGGACAAACAUAAACCUUUUGUAAUUGCAAUCAGCGUCAGUAACAAAUUAAUAAUUACAACUUUCAACAACGGAUCUCUUGGUUCUGGCAUCGAUGAAGAACGCAGCGAAAUGCGAUAAGUAGUGUGAAUUGCAGAAUUCAGUGAAUCAUCGAAUCUUUGAACGCACAUUGCGCCCUUUGGUAUUCCAAAGGGCAUGCCUGUUCGAGCGUCAUUUGUACCCUCAAGCUUUGCUUGGUGUUGGGCGUCUUGUCUCUAGCUUUGCUGGAGACUCGCCUUAAAGUAAUUGGCAGCCGGCCUACUGGUUUCGGAGCGCAGCACAAGUCGCACUCUCUAUCAGCAAAGGUCUAGCAUCCAUUAAGCCUUUUUUUCAACUUUUGACCUCGGAUCAGGUAGGGAUACCCGCUGAACUUAAGCAUAUCAAUAAGCGGAGGA